UUGCAAUAGAUAGCCUUUAACUUCAAUAUUUACAGUCAAGGUCCUUUUUUUUAGAACAACCAUUACACCUUACAUCCUUUGCUCAUAACCUUGUUAAAAUUUCCAGUUAAAUAUGUCACGUGCAAGGCAGAUGAGGGCACUUUUGUAAUUUUAACCAUAUAAAUAAAACAAAAUCUAACUAAAAAAACAUUUAUAAAAUCAAAACACUCUCUCCUCUUUCAUCUCCUUUAUCUCCUUCUAUGCCUUCUCUCCCCCACCAGACAACUACCAGCACCAACACCAUCUGACCACCACCUCUUUCAUCUCCUUCUAUACCUUCAUCUCCUUCUAUACCGUCAUCACCUCAAGCCAUCCGCCAUCAUCACCAUAAACCAUCUCCGCCGUCAUCAUCAUAAGCCAUCUCUGCCACCAUCACCAUAAACCAUCUCCGCCGUCAUCACCACAAGCCAUCCGCCGCCACCAUCUGAACUUAAGGUUUUUAGUUUGGCUCAUGGGUUACUUCGGGCGGGGUAAAGAGAGAAGAAUAAAGCCUAGGACUAAAUCUGAAGAUGUUAGUUAAUCAAGUCGAAUAUGUCCGCUUGUAUAUUAACAUCAAGUUUAGUUGUCGUGUGGUUGUAUCCUUGUCGAAUAAAUAAAUGGAAUUAUGACUUUUGUUUAUGAUACCACUGUUAUAGUGACACGUCAACCCUUCCGUGUUGGGGUGUUACACUCAAACUACUGGGUUGAGGGUUACAUCACCUUCAAAAGAGGGGCCUACUACU
rnacentral:lncRNA from 1 species